UUCGUCGUGUGCUGCAUUGACAAUUUACUGAAAAGCUUCUCUGAGGUAAAAUAACAGUUUGGUUAAAUACUGCCUAUUGCACUUGCCAUCGUCCCCCAAAUUUUAUGAGAUUAUGUUACUCCUACAUGUGUAUAGGUUGUCAUUCUUAUCAUCAUCAAUCUCCAUAUUGUGGCAGAGACGCCGUCUGUCUCCAGUUGGAUAAGAUAUUAGAUCUACCUACAGUGGUGGACCUAGGAUUUAGGUGAGUGGGUUUGGCGGCCCAAGACAAACAACUAGGGUCUUCCUUUAGUGGGAGUUGAGAUGACGUCACUGAGGAACAGCACCAAACUUCAUCGCGUUGACCCUGCCUUCUUUUUCUUUAUCUGGUGUCAUUUUGCCCCAACGGUUUUAGGAAAAUCUUUCUGUACUACUGUUUGGGGAAAAAGGAAAAAAAAUAGGCAGCAUAUUCUACUCCGAAUAAUUUAUUAAAUUACAAUUUUUAUGCUAUUUCAAUUUCGGCCUUUUACUCAAAGCUUCACUUCUUAAUGUUUGUAUUUUCUUUUCAUCAUUGUAAAUUCAUAAAAUGACAAUUUAACAAGAACAACACAGAAAUCAAGAUUACAAAUUAUAAACAAUAACACAUAAUGCAAGAUUAGAAAAUAACAAAUAAACAACAAAAUAAGAAAAUAACAUAAUAAAUUAACCACUAAAAAGUUCUAAAAAUUAAUAUGAACCAACCAAAAGAGCAAUAGAGCAGCUGGGCAUUAGAGCAAGCAAUGGAUGGCAGAAAGAGGCUUAGCCAUGUUGGUGUACAUACAUAUGAAGUGGCUUGCAAGGAGUCAUUAAUUUUAGAUAUUUGUGUGUCAAGAAAAUAUGUAGAAAUCUCUAGUGCUAAGAUAACCUCAAAUUAUUGAGUACAAUAACAACAAACCCAGUAUAUUCCUACACGUGGGGUCUGAGGAGGGUAGUGUGUACGCAAACCUUAUUCCUACCUAGUGAAGGUAGAGAGGCUGUUUCCUAUAAAUCCUCUGCUCAGAAAAGGUGAGAAGAAGAAAGAAGUAGAAGAAGAAAAAGAAAAGUACCAAACAGUAACAACAAGGAAAUAUGAUAAAUGAAGCGAACUAAACAACAUGACGUAAUAUAGAUCUAAGAAUAUAAAGGUACAUGAGUGCUACUAGUACUACUGGUAAGAAAAGGAGAAACUUUCAACUACCUACUACCUUUCUAUCCUAAUUCUCGACCUCUACACCCUCCUAUUAAGGGUCAUAUCCUCAGUAAGCUGAAGCAACACCAUGUUCUGCCUAAUCACCUCUCCCCAGUACUUUUUUGGCCUACCUUGACCUCUUCUCAAACCCGCCAUGACCAACCUCUCAUACCUCCUAAUAGCAACAUCAGUGCUUCUCCUCUUAACGUGCUCGAACCAUCUCAGUUUCGACUCCUGCAUCUUGUUCUCCAGGAGGCUACUCCCACUUUGUCCUGAAUAACUUUAUUACUAAUCUUAUCUCUCCUGAUAUACCCACUCAUCCAUCUCAACAUCCUCAUUUUUGCUACUUUCAUUUUCUGAACAUGGGGGUUCUUGACUGGCCAACACGAAGUCCCAUGCAACAUAGUUGGUCUAACCACUACUCUGUAGAAUUUACCUUUUAAGUCUUGGUGGCACAUUCUUAUCACGUAGAACACCAGACACGAGCCUCCAUUUCGUCCAUUUUGUUCCAAUACGAUGUGUAACAUCCUUGUCAAUCUCCCCGUUACCUUGAGUAUUGGGAUGAAAUAGGUCCAAAUGGAGUGAAAUGGAUAUUGAGAAUUUAUAUAGCUGAUCUCAACUUUGGGAUUGAGGCAUGGUAGUAGUUCUUAUUAUACUAAACAAUUUUGUAUAAUUAGUGAACAUAGCAUAUUUGAUACAAAUGCCGAGCAGCACCAAACCCUCAUAAAUGCGAAGGUUGAUUCUUUGGAUGAAAGCGCCGACACAAAGACGAAGCACUGAGCUAAAUGACCAGAAUAUAAAGAGGUCACGGGCUCAGCUAUGAACCUAUAACCUUUACUUAAACGAUGGCGUUCUUUGCCAAUGCAUUUGGUUCGGCCUUUCAGUGUAUCGUACUUUUAUAAUCUUAUAUAAUGUAUAGAUAUAGUAAAUAUUUAAGCCCCCUUGCUACAAUGUGGGCCCACUUGUCUGCUUAGUAUGCCUCUUUGCAAAUUGGGAACUUUGCAAUUUGAUUUAGGACUUCAUAAUUUUUUGGUUGCAUAUAAAGCCUUGUCAAAAGUCUGGGACUUAGGUAUCAAUACUUGUCAUAUAAGCUUUAGCAUCGUAGAUGAGGACAUGAGGUUUCAUUAGAAGACUGAUAUAGCCAACUUUUUAUUUACUACAGAUGCGGGAAAUUUAUGGGGCGUCUGGUUACUUUGCAGAGGCUGAGAGUUUGAGCAAGAACAAAUUAAAGGAUACCAAAAGACUUACAGAAGUUUCUGCAAG